AGUGAACGCUGGCGGUAGGCCUAACACAUGCAAGUCGAACGGCAGCACAGUAAGCUCUUUCUCUUACGGUUGGCGAGUGGCGGACGGGUGAGGAAUACAUCGGAAUCUACUUUUUCUUGGGUGAUAACGUAGGGCCACUUACGCUACUACCUCAUACGACCUACGGCUUAAAUCAGGUGAUCUUCGGACCUUGCGCGUUUCAAUUAGCCGAUGUCGGAUUAGCUAGUUGGCGUGGUAAAGGCCCACCAAGGCGACGAUCCGUAGCUGGUCUGAGAGGAUGAUCGGCCACACUGGAACUGAGACACGGUCCAGACUCCUACGGGAGGCAGCAGUGGGGAAUAUUGGACAAUGGGCGCAAGCCUGAUCGAGCCAUACCGCGUGAGUGAAGAAGGCCUUCGGGUUGUAAAGCCCUGUUGUUGGGAAAGAAAAGCAGUAGGUUAAUACACCGAUGUUCUGACGGUACCCAAAGAAUAAGCACCGGCUAACUUCGUG
rnacentral:rRNA from 1 species